UCUCACUCAGAACAAUCAUGCUGCUCUUCUUCUCUGUUUUCAUGGUUGUUUCCAGUUUGGGUGAAAGUGUUGACCCUAUCAGACCAAAUGAAACCACCAUCUUUUCCAGUGAAGGCAGCAGAACCACACUGUCCUGCACAUAUGAUGGAUCACCUUACAGACUCCACUGGUAUCAGCAGAAGCUUGGAUCAAGACCAGAGUUUCUACUGCUGAUUUUUGUGUCCAAUAAUCUUGUCAAUAAGGCUGAAAAGCUUGACCCAAGAUUGUCCAUCAAACUUCAAAAAGAGAGUAAUACAGUGGAUCUGGAGAUCUUCCCUGCUGCAGUAUCAGACUCUGCACUCUACUACUGUGCU